GGAACUUGUGUUUGGACGGAAUAUGGUCCCAGAUGUGCAGCAACAAUCGAAAAAAGUUUUUUUCGAAGCAGAGGUAUCCAUGGCAACCCUAAUUCUGCAGGUACCGACCAUUCGUGGCUGUGUGACUCUGCAAAGUCAUUCUGAUUUAUGGAGGUGUCAGGCGGGUGGCUCCAGACAUCAUCUCACGAAACGGGCCCCUGAAUGUCAUCAUUUCAUCCUCCCAGUUCCAGAACAAAUGCCCCUCUGUGACAGCUCCUGAGCUAUUGAUGUGAGAUCACUUUAGAAUCCCUUGACGUGGCGCCCGUUUUGUUUUAUUUUUGGGACAUUUGUUCCUCUUUGUGUCAAGCUAAAAAUAUUUCUCCAUCAUUGAAAAUUAAACCACUGAG